rnacentral:rRNA from 1 species
AUACGUAUGUCGCAAGCGUUAUCCGGAAUUAUUGGGCGUAAAGCGAGUCUAGGCGGCUUGUUAAGUCAGAUGUGAAAAUGCGGGGCUCAACUCCGUAUUGCGUUUGAAACUGGCAAGCUAGAGUACUGGAGAGGUGGGCGGAACUACAAGUGUAGAGGUGAAAUUCGUAGAUAUUUGUAGGAAUGCCGAUAGUGAAGACAGCUCACUGGACAGAUACUGACGCUAAAGCUCGAAAGCGUGGGGAGCGAACAGGAUUAGAAACCCUUGUAGUCC